AUCGAACGCUGGCGGCAGGUUUAACACAUGCAAGCCGAACGAGUGGCGGACGGGUGAGUAAUGUCUGGGAAACUGCCUGAUGGAGGGGGAUAACUAGUGGAAACGGUAGCUAAUAGCGCAUAUUAUCAGAUGUGCCCAGAUGGGUUUAGCUUGUUGUUGGGGUAACGGCUCACCAAGGCGACGAUCCCUAGCUGGUCUGAGAGGAUGACCGGCAACACUGGAGCUGAGACACGGUCCAGACUCCUACGGGAGGCAGCAGUGGGGAAUAUUGCACAAUGGGCGCAAGCCUGAUGCAGCCAUGCCGGGUGUGUGAAGAAGGCCUUCGGGUUGUAAAGUACUUUCGUCGGGGAGGCGUUACCCGCAGAAGAAGCACCGGCUAACUCCGUGCCAGCCGCCGCGGUAAUAC
rnacentral:rRNA from 1 species